ensembl:lncRNA
AGGAGCCAGGGUAAUGAGACAGGAGCCAGGGUAAUGAGACAGGAGCCAGGGUAAUGAGACAGGUGCCAGGGUAAUGAGACAGGAGCCAGGGUAAUGAGACAGGAGCCAGGGUAAUGAGACAGGUGCCAGGGUAAUGAGACAGGAGCCAGGGUAAUGAGACAGGUGCCAGGGUAAUGAGACAGGUGCCAGGGUAAUGAGACAGGAGCCAGGGUAAUGAGACAGGUGCCAGGGUAAUGAGACAGGUGCCAGGGUAAUGAGACAGGAGCCAGGGUAAUGAGACAGGAGCCAGGGUAAUGAGACAGGAGCCAGGGUAUUGAGACAGGAGCCAGGGUAAUGAGACAGGAGCCAGGGUAAUGAGACAGGAGCCAGGGUAAUGAGACAGGAGCCAGGGUAAUGAGACAGGAGCC